AAGAGGAGGAACCAUUAUGACGAAGGCAUACUUUAGCAUGGUUCCGACGCAAUGCCGCCGAACGAAUGUGAGGGGGCGAUACCAAUA
rnacentral:sRNA from 12 species